CNUGCGAGUCAGGCGUCUCNAGCUAUNUUGAGACGCGGCAGACGGCUCAGUAACGCGUGGCUAACCUGCCCUCAGGACGAAAAUAACCCCGGGAAACUGGGGAUAAUAUUCGAUAGGUGAGGAUGUCUGGAAUGACUUCUCUCCUAAAGGACCUAGAUACAUGCUUCUAUGUCGCCUGGGGAUGGGGCCGCGCCCGAUCAGGUUGUUGGUGAGGUAACGGCUCACCAAGCCUAUAACCGGUACGGGCCGUGAGAGCGGUAGCCCGGAGAUGGGUACUGAGACAAGGACCCAGGCCCUACGGGGCGCAGCAGUCGCGAAAACUCCGCAAUGCACGAAAGUGUGACGGGGCUACCCCGAGUGCCAUCCGCUGAGGAUGGCUUUUCUUUGGUAUAACUAGCCAUUGGAAUAAGGAGAGGGCAAGACUGGUGUCAGCCGCCGCGGUAAUACCAGCUCUCCGAGUGGUAGGGAUGAUUAUUGGGCUUAAAGCGUCCGUAGCCUGCUUAGCAAGUUUCCUGUUAAACUCAGCGACUCAUUCGUUGGAUCGCGGGAAAUACUACUAGGCUAGGAGGCGGGAGAGGUCAACGGUACUUCUGGGGUAGGGGUGAAAUCCUAUAAUCCCGGGAGGACCACCAGUGGCGAAGGCUGUUGACUAGAACGCGCUCGACGGUGAGGGACGAAAGCUGGGGGAGCGAACCGGAUUAGAUACCCGGGUAGUCCCAGCUGUAAACGAUACGAGCUAGGUGUUGGGAUGGCUACGGGCCAUUUCAGUGCCGCAGGGAAGCCAUUAAGCUCGCCGCCUGGGGAGUACGGCCGCAAGGCUGAAACUUAAAGGAAUUGGCGGG
rnacentral:rRNA from 1 species